rnacentral:rRNA from 1 species
GACGAACGCUGGCGGCGUGCUUAACACAUGCAAGUCGAACGGUGAACCUCUUCGGAGGGGAUCAGUGGCGAACGGGUGAGUAACACGUGGGCAACCUGCCCCCGGCUCUGGGAUAACUCCAAGAAAUUGGGGCUAAUACCGGAUGUUCACCGCUUCCCGCAUGGGUGGUGGUGGAAAGGGUUUCCGGCUGGGGAUGGGCCCGCGGCCUAUCAGCUUGUUGGUGGGGUAGUGGCCUACCAAGGCGACGACGGGUAGCCGGCCUGAGAGGGUGACCGGCCACCAUGGGCCUGCGACACGGCCCAGACUCCUACGGGAGGCAGCAGUGGGGAAUAUUGCGCAAUGGGCGGAAGCCUGACGCAGCGACGCCGCGUGGGGGAUGCCGGCCUUCGGGUUGUAAACCUCUUUCAGCAGGGACGAAGCGCAAGUGACGGUACCUGCAGAAGAAGCCCCGGCCAACUACGUG